UACGUAGGGGGCUAGCGUUGUCCGGAAUCAUUGGGCGUAAAGCGCGUGUAGGCGGUCCGGUAAGUCCGCUGUGAAAGUCGGGGGCUCAACCCUCGGAUGCCGGUGGAUACUGUCGGGCUUGAGUGCGGAAGAGGCGAGUGGAAUUCCUGGUGUAGCGGUGAAAUGCGUAGAUAUCGGGAGGAACAUCGGUGGCGAAGGCGGCUGCUCUGGACCACAACUGACGCUGAGGCUCGAAAGCAGGG
rnacentral:rRNA from 1 species